CACGUAGGGUGCGAGCGUUGUCCGGAAUUAUUGGGCGUAAAGAGCUCGUAGGCGGUGUGUCGCGUCGGCCGUGAAAACCUGGGGCUUAACUCUGGGCGUGCGGUCGAUACGGGCAUCACUGGAGUUCGGCAGGGGAGACUGGAAUUCCUGGUGUAGCGGUGAAAUGCGUAGAUAUCAAGCGGAACACCAGUGGCGAAGGCGAGUCUCUGGACAAUUCCUGACACUGAGGCACGAAAGCCAGGGGAGCAAACGGG
rnacentral:rRNA from 1 species